GACAGAGGGGGCGAGCGAUGUCCGGGAUCACUGGGCGUAAAACGCGCGCAGGCGGCAACCUAAGUGUCGUGUGAAAGCCCCCGGCUCAACCGGGGGAGGCCAUGGCAAACUGGGUCGCUCGAGCUGCGGAGAGGCCCCUCGAAUUGCCGGUGUAGCGGUGAAAUGCGUAGAGAUCGGCAGGAAGACCAAGGGGGAAGCCAGGGGGCUGGCCGCAGGCUGACGCUGAGGCGCGACAGCGUGGGGAGCAAAUCGG
rnacentral:rRNA from 1 species